rnacentral:lncRNA from 1 species
GUGAUUUAAAACGGCAUAUACAGCAUGGUCCUUUUUUAAAAUUUCUUCGCUAUCAUUCUAUCUGUAUAGGUACACAUAAAUCUGUCAAAAUAAUAUAAGAAAAUGAAGCUAAAGGAAUUUUUGAAUUUCAAGUAUUUACAGAGACAUUAUCUUCUACAAUGGCAAAAGUAUAAAACAAAAAGCAAUUGUAGUCAUUAUGCUUUUUAUUUUUUAAACUGUUAAUUUUAGAUAAUUUAUAUUGAUUUGAGAAUAUUAUUCUCACCCUUCCUCCAACAG